AACGCGAAGAACCUUACCUACCCUUGACAUGUACGGAAGCCUCCAGAGAUGGGGGUGUGCCCGAAAGGGAGCCGUAACACAGGUGCUGCAUGGCUGUCGUCAGCUCGUGUCGUGAGAUGUUGGGUUAAGUCCCGCAACGAGCGCAACCCUUGUCCCUAGUUGCUACGCAAGGGCACUCUAGGGAGACUGCCGGUGACAAACCGGAGGAAGGUGGGGAUGACGUCAAGUCCUCAUGGCCCUUAUGGGUAGGGCUUCACACGUCAUACAAUGGCCGGUACAGAGGGUUGCCAAAGCGCGAGCUGGAGCCAAUCCCAGAAAGCCGGUCGUAGUCCGGAUUGCAGUCUGCAACUCGACUGCAUGAAGUCGGAAUCGCUAGUAAUCGCGGAUCAGCAUGUCGCGGUGAAUACGUUCCCGGGCCUUGUA
rnacentral:rRNA from 1 species